CACGUAGGCACCAAGCGUUGUCCGGAUUUAUUGGGCGUAAAGAGCUCGUAGGCGGCUCAGUAAGUCGGGUGUGAAACCCUCAGGCUCAACCUGGGGACGCCACUCGAUACUGCUGUGGCUAGAGUCCAGUAGAGGAGUGUGGAAUUCCCGGUGUAGCGGUGAAAUGCGCAGAUAUCGGGAGGAACACCAACGGCGAAGGCAGCACUCUGGGCUGGAA
rnacentral:rRNA from 1 species